rnacentral:lncRNA from 1 species
UUCAUGCUGGUGAGUGUGGUGUCCCAACCACAGACGGAGGGGCUGUCACGCGGCGGGUCCCACCUCCCACUCUGUCAUGGCGGGAUUUUUGUCAUGUUUUUCAGAUUUCUCUGGAAUCCCCUUGGCCAAGAAGGGUCCAUUCAGCUUGUUGGUGCGGGAGCUCAGGAUUUCAUUUUUAGUUCUCACAUGGCAGGUGAGUGAAAACGUUAUAAGGGACUAUCCAAACCUUUCCCGAAGUGGCUGUAGUAUCUUAACUCUCACCAGUCGUGUGUGACAGUUUUGGUGUCUUUAAAAGUCGGUGGUGUCAAGAUUUCACAACUACCUCUUCUGCUGAUUGUGUGGUUCUAUCUGUUCGUGGCUUAAACUUGCAUUUCCCUCAUGACAAAAAGUGUGAAACCAUCAGUCAUGAACUGUCUGUCCAUUCCAAUCUCUUCUGUUCAUUUUUAAAGUGGGGCUGUGUAUCUUUUUAUUGAUUUAUGAUCAUUCUUUCUAUAUUCUGGAUACAAGAUUUUUGUGUGGGAUUUGUUUUGCAGUAUCUCCCCAGACUUCCUGGUCAUUUUCUUUGUAGUGUCUUUUGAUAACUAGAGCAUUUUCCUUCGGAUAAAGCCAAAUUGAUUAUUUUUAAAUGUGCUUGUCACUGCUUUUUCCUCCCUGCCAGGAAGUGUUUGUGCACUCUCAGGUCACACAAGAGAUGGUAAUUUGUCAGUGAGCUGAGGAAGGCAGAUCUGGCCUCAGCUAUGAGGGUGGGUAGCACCCAGCCCAUUGCAGACCCAGACUCCGGAGGUUCCUCUGUCUUCUUGGGCUGGGGCGUCCAUCUCCUCCUGCCCGCAGACACAGGAGUUUCUGGGUCCCAGGCCUUGCGCUCUGGGACUGACACCAGCGGUUUGGGCUUGGACUGAAUGACGCCACCCGCUGUUCGGGUUCACUGGCUUAGGGACAGCGGUUUGUGGGACUUCUCAGCCUCCGUGAUCAAGGAGCCGAUUCCUGUAAUAAAUCUCCUCCUAAACGUAUCGCCCAGCAGCUCUGUUUCUCUGGAGAACCCUGACUCACAUAUGGGGGCCUAGAGGUUUGGUUGUAGCAGGCCCCAGGCCCUGUUCCAGCACCUGGCAGUACCCCCAGCUGAUGGGCCCCAGGUGGGGAGGGACAGCCGGCCUGAGGGAGGUGCCUCCUGGGCCCCACCGUGGGCUCCCGUGCAGACAGGCAGGGUGGGGAGCAAGGACAAGGCUGUCCCCUCCUCUGGCCUCCGUCUACAGGUGGGACUUCUUUCCAGCCCUUUCUGUGGGUGGGGGGUGCACACGGGCAGGCCAGCCCCAGGCGCCCUCAGGACCGCACCCUAGGCCUGCCCUGGGGGGAGUGGGGAUGGGGCUGGGGCCUCACCUUGCUCAGGACCCAACCCUGGUGCAGCUCCACUCCUGGCUUUUCGCCUGCAGGACAGAGGGGCCUGGAGUGGCCUGGCCCUGCCGUGGGCAGCAUGGCGUGGGCAUGCAGGGCGCAGACUGACCACUCUGUUCCCACACCUGGCUCAAGGUGGGUCGAGGGCCUUCCCAGCCUUCUCAGAGCUAACCCAGAGGAGUGCACAGGACGCUCGUCUCCCCCGAGAGCCACAGGGAGUGCUGGACCCGCCUGAGCGGGGGGCAUAUGGGGCUCAGCACAGCACUGUGGGGCCUGGAUGAGAAGCCGCUGGUCUCUUCUGCCCCUCCCUGACAUUGAGGACUGGAACCUUGGGGAGCCUUGGGUGAGGUCGCCUCCCAGGAAGUCCUGAGCUGAGACAUCGCGGGCCCAUUUUGAGGUGGCUGUGAGGGGUACAGGUGAGUGUACUUGGGGUUCCUUCAAGGCCAGGCCCAGCAGGUCACCUGCAGAAGGCCUUGGGCAGGUGCCCCCCACCCCGUCCUGGAACACCAUUCUUCCCCAUCGCCCCAGAGGACCAGGCCCAGGCAAGGCUGGGAAUGCUUAGCCGACCUGCUCAGCAUGAAGCUCCUGCCCCAACCCCCUCCUUCCAGGUGCCCGGCCUGGGCUCUGCCAGAGGCUGAGGUGCCCAGGGUGUCAGGACGGCCACCCUGAAGGCCCUACCCCUUUAUAGGAAAUAAAGUCUUCUUUCCAAAUUU